rnacentral:lncRNA from 1 species
UAUAUGAUAAGCAAGCUAUGACAUGGUGUUGAUAGUCUUGAUGCCAUGGCACUUACUUGUCUGCAUAAGUGUAGCUAGGGUACAUGUUCUUCAUGAUUGCCAGCAAAUCCUUUAGGUCCAUUUGGUCCAGUGAGCAUAUGUAUCUCUCAGAUGGCCCUGCCUUGUUGUACAACAGGAGCAAUGCGUCGGCAACAUCGCGAACGUCUACGAUGGGAAAGAACUUGUUGUUCAUCGUGUCAGGGCCUCCUGCGAUCGGACAUAUGAUGGAACUACAUUAGGCACAAGGAUGUGUAUUUUAAAAGGUCAUUCUCUGAACUUCAUUAAAACCGGGGGUGUCUUAUUACACUAUUAAUAUAAAAGCCGAGGAGCUCCUCCGGUGUCAAUUUUUGUUCUGAACUUCAUCGCUCUGCUGCACUUCGACAACAAAAACAGCAAAAUGGAAGGAAAACAACCGGCUUUGGUUACCAAAAGUACUAACCUCUAACCACAUGUGAUGUGCAAUGUACAAAAUGAUUAUGUAUCCUUGUGAUAGAUGAGCUGAGGAGUGGAACCUUUUAUCAUGUAGACGAGGACCUUGCUGCUGGUAUUGACCGCCACAUGCUGCAACAGAGGGCCGAAGACCAGACCAGGGCAAAGUGCGACGACGUGCAGCUCGUUCUUCUCUCCGUAUUCCAGGGCCGAAGACCGGACUAUCCAGACGGUUAAAUUUUGUGGAGCUUGCUUAAUGUCCUAACAUGCUCGGAUGUAUGAGGAAUAAGAUUUUACCUUGGAUAUGACCAUUUGUGUGAUUUAUUUGUAUGUAUUGUAGCCUGGGGGGACUAUCCAGACGGUUAAAUUUUGUGGAGCUUGCUUAAUGUCCUAACAUGCUCGGAUGUAUGAGGAAUAAAAUUUGACGUUGGAUAUGACCAUUUGUGUGAUUUAUUUGUAUGCAUUGUAGCCCGUAGCAACGCACGGGUGUACUACUAGUGUUCAUAACUCUGCAGUCACUACUUUUAGAGUACUCCUCCAGAGUCCGCUUUCUCUUGACGGAAGUGAGCACGAAUGCACAAUUUUUACAUUUGCAUCCAUCCUGAAUGGACUAGUGGAGGAGUCGAGAAAUAGAGACCUAACCCGUGCUUAUUUUUGCAAAACACAUUUCAUGAUGUUUCAGGCCAAAUGCAGAAUCAAUGGCACAAUUAUGGGAUCAUUCUCAUUCCUGGAUAGGCGGCAUUCGGUAGAUGAAUGGAAGCCGGCAUGGUUCGUCGUCUGUAACCCCAAGAAGCCCUGCUUUUUCAUAGGACUCGAUACAAUCCACGAGUGUCUCCUCCAUCUUCCUUGGUUUCCACCCUAAAUUGUUCAGCUUGUCCGAAGUGACUCCGACGUUAAAGUCCACAUCAACCAUCCUGCCAACCCAAAAUUUCGUAAUGAAAAUCCUUCGUAGUAUAUGAUAAGCAAGCUAUGACAUGGUGUUGAUAGUCUUGAUGCCAUGGCACUUACUUGUCUGCAUAAGUGUAGCUAGGGUACAUGUUCUUCAUGAUUGCCAGCAAAUCCUUUAGGUCCAUUUGGUCCAGUGAGCAUAUGUAUCUCUCAGAUGGCCCUGCCUUGUUGUACAACAGGAGCAAUGCGUCGGCAACAUCGCGAACGUCUACGAUGGGAAAGAACUUGUCGUUCAUCGUGUCAGGGCCUCCUGCGAUCGGACAUAUGAUGGAACUACAUUAGGCACAAGGAUGUGUAUUUUAAAAGGUCAUUCUCUGAACUUCAUUAAAACCGGGGGUGUUUUAUUACACUAUUAAUAUAAAAGCCGAGGAGCUCCUCCGGUGUCAAUUUUUGUUCUGAACUUCAUCGCUCUGCUGCACUUCGACAACAAAAACAGCAAAAUGGAAGGAAAACAACCGGCUUUGGUUACCAAAAGUACUAACCUCUAACCACAUGUGAUGUGCAAUGUACAAAAUGAUUAUGUAUCCUUGUGAUAGAUGAGCUGAGGAGUGGAACCUUUUAUCAUGUAGACGAGGACCUUGCUGCUGGUAUUGACCGCCACAUGCUGCAACAGAGGGCCGAAGACCAGACCAGGGCAAAGUGCGACGACGUGC